GACGAACGCUGGCGGCGUGCUUAACACAUGCAAGUCGAACGGAAAGGCCCUGCUUUUGUGGGGUGCUCGAGUGGCGAACGGGUGCGUAACACGUGAGUAACCUGCCCUUGACUUUGGGAUAACUUCAGGAAACUGGGGCUAAUACCGUAUAGGAGCUCCUGCUGCAUGGUGGGGGUUGGAAAGUUUCGGCGGUCGGGGAUGGACUCGCGGCUUAUCAGCUUGUUGGUGGGGUAGUGGCUUACCCAGGCAUUGACGGGUAGCCGGCCUGGGAGGGUGACCGGCCACCUUGCGACUGAGGUACGGCCCAGACUCCUACGGGAGGCAGCGGUGGCGAGUAUUGCCCAAUGAGCCGAAGCCUGAUGCAACGGCGCCGCGUGCGGGAUGACGGCCUUCUGGUUGUGAACCGCUUUCGCCUAUGACGAAGCGUGAGUGACGGUAAUGGAUAAAGAAGCACCGGCUAACUACGUG
rnacentral:rRNA from 1 species